GUCCAACUAACAAUUGAAGUAUCAUAAAAUGAUCAAUAUUUAUACUUUUACAAUGUAUCACACCAAUCAAUUAUUGUCUAAUACUCUUAUAAAUUAAGUAUUAGACAUUGCGGGAAAGAAAGCUCCAGUCUUCUCAACACUCAAGUUCUACUAGGUGAAGCAAUCUAACAAAACAAAGAGAUUGGAUCCCCUUCCCUUAUACAUUGAGAUAGGAGCUAUUCAUUCAAAGCAUUGAUAAAAUAAAAAAAAUGAAACUCCACAUUAAGUUAAGAAAUUUAGAAGCAAAGGUAAUGUUCUUUCUCUAGAGUAUCCUUAAAAAAAGUUUUAGUUAACAUGAAAUUUUGUUGCGGAAUUGGUUCGACGGCGCUUCAAACGGUUUUCAAUUGGAAUACACAUCUGAUCUUGAAUUGCUUUGGUUUGUCUUGGUUCUGCUUUAAGGAUCAUCUCGGUCUGCUGCGGCGUAGUUGAUCAUGUGGCGGUUUUCUAAGUGUGGAGUCCAGGCUGCGUAGGUAUGUGCCGUGAUCUUAUAAUCGGAGGCCAAACACCCUAAAAUUUGAGCUUCAUUUAGUAGCAGGUCUUUUUUAUCCAUGGUUCGGAUGUUGUUUUUCAAAUCUAAGAAUACUUUUCUAACACACUUUGGAGUAUAAAAUUAGAGCUUGAUCAUAUCUCACAUGCUUCUUAAUGUUUAAUUUGACAGAUGUAGCAUUAUAAACAUGUUUCAAAGUUAAUUUAAUAAUUAUUAGGUAGUUUGUAUUAACAAUAUCUUCUCUUAUAUAUGUGUUUUUAUUUAAAAAUCUAAUGAUUAGACUCGCAUUAUAAACAUGAAAAAAAUAGAAAAUUUGGAGAUUGAACUUCAAUCCCUACAAUAUUAGGUUAUUUAUUUUGGUACCGAAGGAGUAAUAUUUAAUUGUGCAAAAUAAGCAAACAGAGUGCGGACUGAUAAAAGAAAGGAAAGUGGUAGUUAAACAUUUAUAAAAAGCAUAAUCGGUUAAAUUGAAUUGAAAAAUAUAAAAGGAAAGAGCAUCAGAGUCAUGGAAGUAUGAGAUUAAACAUCGCACGCAUAUACACGAGCUUCUCAUAAUCAAAGAAUAAACACUCAUCACUUGCUACUUCCUCAAGCAUCAAUAAUACUAUAUAUGGUUUCAUGAUUAGAACUACUGAAAAAAAUUGCAAAAAAAAAAGUUAAAUUUGUUUUUGAAAAGUCAUAGCUUAAAAUGAGAAAAAUGUAAAGGAA
rnacentral:lncRNA from 1 species